UAUCUCUGCACUUUCUCAAUAAACUCGAUAGAGAACAGACAUGAAAAUCGCGACUUUUAUUUUCCUAGGGAUUGGAAUUGUUAGAACUGUAGAACGGAGAACGUUGUUUUGAAAUUGCCUAAUACGAAGACUGUCUAAACUGCCAAUUGAACGAAAGACAAGCUGAAUACCCUGUCCUUCCAGCUGAACCAGAGCGUGUAUGCAACCUCUAGAAAGUCCGAAGAUAGAUGCAUCUACAAAUGCUACUACAUUGAGUGAGCACAUACCUCCAAAUUCCCAGCUACCAACUGAUGUGCCAACUUCGGGAAAUCCAAAUGAGGCCACAAAUGGCACAAUAACUGAGAAACCUACGGAGGAGAACGAAUGGAGGGAUGAACGUUGUUGUCGCCCAAGUGAGAGGAAAGGCCUUUGUAAGGUUCCAGAGUACAGGUGGACUUAUAAUCACGGCGAGUGCAAGAGGUUCCGUUUGGGGUGGAUGUCCCAGAUUUCCAUUCCUUACUGAA